rnacentral:rRNA from 1 species
AUGAAUGUUUCAGCCUAUGACACGGUGUUGGUCGCCCUUGUUAAGAACCUUGACGGAGGAGAUGGACCGCAAUUCCCCUCAUGCAUCGACUGGAUUGUUCAAAAUCAACUACCAGAUGGUUCGUGGGGUGAUCCUGCUUUCUUUAUGGUCCAAGAUCGGAUGAUCAGCACCCUAGCUUGUGUGGUGGCAGUCAAGUCUUGGAACAUUGACAACGACAGCUGUGAAAGAGGUGUGUCAUUUAUCCAAGAAAAUAUGAGCAGGUUGGUAGAAGAGGAACAAGACUGGAUGCCAUCCGGCUUCGAGAUUAACUUCCCAGCCCUCCUAGAGAAGGCCAGGGACCUGAAUUUGGAUAUUCCGUAUAAUCACCCUGUUUUGGAAGAGAUAUACACCAAGAGGAAUCUAAAGCUUUCUAGGAUACCUCUGGAUGUACUACACGCCGUACCAACGACACUACUUUUCAGCGUGGAAGGAAUGGUAGACUUGCAACUGGACUGGGAAAAGCUACUCAAGUUGCGUUUUCCGGACAGCUCCUUUCAUUCCUCGCCUGCUGCCACAGCUGCUGCACUCAGUCACACCGGCGACAAGGAAUGUCCUGCAUUCCUGGAACAUCUCGUUAGAAAGUUCAAGGGGGGAGUGCGCUGCUGCCACUCUAUGGAUAAUUUUGAGCAACUAUGGGUGGUCGAUCGGCUGGUGUGUCUGGGGAUAUCAAUGCACUUCACAACUGAAAUUGAGCAAUGCUUAGAUUUUAUUUACAGCCGCUGGACUCAGAAGGGACUAGCUCAUACCGUGCACUGCUCAAUCACGGAUAUUGAUGACACGGCCAUGGGUUUCCGUCUGCUCCAUCUGCAUGGCUACGACGUCACUCCAUCCGUGUUUAAGCACUUCGAGAAGGACGACAAGUUCUUCUGCCUCUCCAUGGAGAUGGAGACCAACCACGCAUCUGUCACCCCAAUGUACAACACAUACCGUGCUUCUCAGCUCAUGUUCCCCAGUGAUGAUGACGUUUUGGCACAGGCUGGGUGCUAUUGUCGAGCAUUUCUCAAACAGAGACAUGCCUCCAACAAGUUGAAUGACAAGUGGAUCAUCACCAAGGACCUGCCAGGCGAGGUCGACUACACAUUGAACUUCCCCUGGAAAGCAAGUUUGCCCCGAAUUGAAACAAGGAUGUAUCUUGAUCAGUAUGGAGGCAGCACCGAUGUUUGGAUCGCCAAGGUCCUCUACAGAAUGGAUCUUGUGAGCAAUGACCUGUACCUUCAAAUGGCAAAAGCUGAUUUCAGGCAAUACCAAAGGCUCUCCCGACUUGAGUGGAAUGGCCUCAGAAAGUGGUAUUUCAGGAACCGCCUGCAGAGGUAUGGUGGGACUCCAAAGAGCGCGCUGACGACCUACUUCUUAGCCGCAGCAAACAUCUUCGAACCAAGCCGAGCAUCAGAGCGUCUAGCAUGGGCUCGCACGGCGGUGCUUGCCGAGGCGGUGACCUCUCACUUCAAACACACAGGGGGACCAAAGGAUUCAACGGAGAACCUUGAAGAGCUUAUCGACCUUGUUUCCUUUGACGACGCUUCCGGCAGCCUUUGUGAAGCUUGGAAGCAGUGGCUCAUGGCAUGGACUGCAAAUGGGAACCAUAGAUUCAUUGACGGAGAUACAGCACUGCUGCUGGUUCGCACAAUCGAGAUCUGCUCGGGAAGGCAUGUUUCCGCCGAGGAGAAACUGAACCUUUGGGAGUACUCCCAGCUCGAGCAGCUCACCUCUUCCAUCUGCCGCAAGCUUGCCGCAAAAGUUCAUGCUCAGCAGAAUGGAGGAAGUGUGGGUACAGUGGACUUGGACCGGCAAGUGGAUUUGGAGAUGCAAGAGCUAUUUUGGCGUGUUCAUCAGGGUGGCCAUGGCAUCAACAAAGAAACCAGGCAGACUUUUCUCCACGUUGUGAAAAGCUUCUACUACUCGGCUCAUUGCUCACCUGGAACAGUUGAUGGCCACAUCGCAAAGAUCAUAUUCCAGGAUGUCAUCUAG